rnacentral:misc_RNA from 1 species
UCUCCGUAGGUGAACCUGCGGAGGGAUCAUUACAGAGUUCUCGCCCUCGCGGGUAGAUCUCCCACCCACUGGCAACGUUACCGUCGUUGCUUUUUCGGUCCGCCGGUUCCCCCGCCGCCGGCGUCUAAUAGGCGGCGCGCGCCCGCCAGAGGCCGUCGAACCCUGAAUGUUAGUGUCGUCUGAGUACUAUAUAAUAGUUAAAACUUUCAACAACGGAUCUCUUGGUUCUGG